rnacentral:lncRNA from 1 species
AAAUUAUAAAAGAGGGCCCUCAUGGGGUUUUUGAUUAUGUGAUUACUUGUCCGUUUUUUUAAUGAUUAUUUGAUUAUUAAGCCAAAUAUUUCAUGAUUAUUUGAUUACCUAGGACUGUAUUUUUAGUUUAUGAUUAUUUGAUUACUAAAGAUAAGCAAAUAUUUUAUGAUUAUGUGAUUAUAUUGGCAAAAAAAUGGUGAUUAUGUGAUUACUAGGGCCCCCACCCCCCACCCCCCCCCCCCCCCCCCAUGAGGGGCCUCAUAAA